GCGGUCCGGCCUCAAGUUGUUACUUAAACACCUAAGAGUUAAAAGGGAAUCCGGUGUAAAUCCGGAGCUGACGCGCAGCGGUAAGGGGAAGUCACGGCGAUAGGUUUCAACCAGACACUGUCCGUAAGGAUGGGAAGUCAUCGCCCGCUCUGUUUUAUUCAUAGUCAGAUAACAGAGAUCCCAAGCCCGAAAACCUGCCGGUAUACGUCGCAAUAUU
rnacentral:ncRNA from 1 species